AAUAUGAUUUAUAUCUAGUGGAGGAAAAAACACUAUAGUUGAUAUAUGAUAUUAAACUAUAGAUUAAUGAAUAUAAUAUGAUUAAAUUUAUUAUUUUUUUAAUUGGACAAUUAUGAGAUAAUUGGUCGUCGUUUUCUCCAUAACUGUGCGUUAGUGGAAAGUUCCAUUCAGUUUUUGUAACUGAAGAAUAAAAUGAAAAUUGUUUUCAUUUUACAAAUGAACAAGUUUAAUUACUCACAAAAGGUGUUUGUUGCCUAUCGCCUAGUAAAUCAGAGACUAUAUGAUAGCUCGAGUUUACUAGACGAUUGCUUACAUGCCCGCGCCAUCUACUAAAUGAUCGCUUAGCGCCGAGCUUUUACUAAAUGAUCGUAUAGACGAUCGCUUACCUUUUCCUACACGAUCAUGUACUUCACUUAAACGAUCGAGCAUCUUGUAUAUACGAUAGAUGCUAGGUUUUUCCACUUGCUUGAUCAUUGUAUACGAUCUUUUUUCUUCUUCCUCUCUACCAAAUCCGAACAGAGCCCAUUCUUUGGAUUCUCACAUCGAGAAUACUAAGAAUUCCAAGUGGUGGUGUCAUCCCUAUCUUUGUCUGUUCGUGUGGAGUCCAUUCGUGGUAGACGAUCGGGUGUUGGUGAACGAUAGCCUGACAUUCCAACGAGUGCAAGAGCUUCUGUUCAUGGAGAGAGCGAGAUUUUCCGAGAAGAAAGAGUCUUCAACUGAAGCAAUAGAAAGCUGGAGAAAGGAAAAUUACAAACUCUUUCUAAUAGAAAGGAUCUAUCCACUCUUCCAUCUCUAGUCCUUAAGUUGAUGCAUCAUGAUUUGUCCCCUGAUACCCCAGCCGCUGCCGUGAAACGAGGGACAACACCCCAACAAAAAACUGUUUUUGCCCAACUGAAGGAUCUUGCAGAUGAUAUCAAAGCAGCAGAGUUGGUUUCACCUACUUUAAUUGUCAUUGGAAAAGUGGUCUCUCUCUCACCACAUUGGUCUCUUUCUUCCAAUGAAGCCCCCAGUUUCACCUACUUUAAGCAGUAAUUUUCUUUCUCGGAUGCUAUACUAGAGCACGAUGAAGCGGCAUAUUCUCAUUACUAUUUCUUGCAAUUAUUCAAAUAAAAUUUCCAAAGUUCAAGGUUUUUCUGAGUUCAUGAGGACUUUCGUGCAAUGAGAUUACUUCAUCGGCAACCAAUUUUGUUGAAGUGUUGGUGACUGAAAAAUUGUGCAGAAAUUUCAUUAGAAUAUCUAGUGUAUUGAUUAACACCUUUUUUUGUCCCCUUAAUUUGGGUUACUUCCAGUUCUAGAAAUAACAAAAAAUUACAGACUGUGAAGGGCAUAUUCAUUUAUAGUGUUGAUGUUUACUUGAAAUAUGAAUUUAUGGUUCCUGUAAUUUGGGAUUU